rnacentral:rRNA from 1 species
GAACGCUGGCGGCGCGCCUACCUACAUGCAGUCGAACGCUUUUGUUUUCACCGGAGCUUGCUCCACCGAAAACAAAAGAGUGGCGGACGGGUGAGUAACACGUGGGUAACCUGCCCUCAAGCGGGGGAUAACACUUGGAAACAGGUGCUAAUACCGCAUAACAAUCAAAGUCGCAUGAUUUUGAUUUGAAAGGCGCUUUUGCGUCACUUGAGGAUGGACCCGCGGUGCAUUAGCUAGUUGGUGAGGUAAUGGCUCACCAAGGCUGCGAUGCAUAGCCGACCUGAGAGGGUGAUCGGCCACACUGGGACUGAGACACGGCCCAGACUCCUACGGGAGGCAGCAGUAGGGAAUCUUCGGCAAUGGACGAAAGUCUGACCGAGCAACGCCGCGUGAGUGAAGAAGGUUUUCGGAUCGUAAAACUCUGUUGUUAGAGAAGAACAGGGUGAGAGUAGAAUGUUCACCCCUUGACGGUAUCUAACCAGAAAGCCACGGCUAACUACGUGCCAGCAGCCGCGGUAAUACGUAGGUGGCCAAGCGUUGUCCGGAUUAUUGGGCGUAAAGCGAGCGCAAGGCGGUUCUUUAAGU